rnacentral:tRNA from 2 species
AGACAGGUGUCCGAGCGGUUUAAGGAGCACGCCUGGAACGCGUGUAUAGUGAAAGCUAUCGAGGGUUCGAAUCCCUUCCUGUCUGCCA